AUCAUUGACUAACACAUUUUAGUUGACUUUAGAAACACUAGCUUCAGCUUACGAUGCACAAGAGGACGGUCUGGUUCACUCUCAGAACCUCUGAACGAUUAUAUAUAUUUUGACUCAUUGGAAAAUGUUGAUGUUUUAUUGUUGUUCAUACUUGCAACUAAAAUCAUAAAAAUCGAUGUAACUUCAUCAUUUAUCUCACAAAAUAGAGGAUGAUCUACUUUUGUUGAUAUGUUGUGCCCUCUCCAGCUUACUGAAGAUAACCUACAAAAUUUUCUACAUUGUGCGUCACUCUUAUACGUAUUCUCACCGGACUUUGUUUAGGCUUGAUAAGGGACUAUAUUUUGUCCGAAACUCCGCCAAGUUUUUCAAAUUAAAACUCGUGUUUUUUUUUCUUGGACCUUCUAAACCGGAAACUAUAUAUUAUAUCAACUAAAGGUCGAAACUGAAGAAACAAUGGAUUUAUACAAGAUUCUAUACAGGAUCCUAUGUAGGUGGCUAUAUAGGAACCUAUAUAAAAAUUUUCAGUAGGGAUUGGAGCAAUGUUCAUGAAAAAUA